AGUGAACGCUGGCGGUAGGCCUAACACAUGCAAGUCGAACGGCAGCACAGUAAGAGCUUGCUCUUACGGGUGGCGAGUGGCGGACGGGUGAGGAAUACAUCGGAAUCUACUUUUUCGUGGGGGAUAACGUAGGGAAACUUACGCUAAUACCGCAUACGACCUACGGGUGAAAGCAGGGGAUCUUCUGACCUUGCGCGAUUGAAUGAGCCGAUGUCGGAUUAGCUAGUUGGCGGGGUAAAGGCCCACCAAUGCGACGAUCCGUAGCUGGUCUGAGAGGAUGAUCAGCCACACUGGAACUGAGACACGGUCCAGACUCCUACGGGAGGCAGCAGUGGGGAAUAUUGGACAAUGGGCGCAAGCCUGAUCCAGCCAUACCGCGUGGGUGAAGAAGGCCUUCGGGUUGUAAAGCCCUUUUGUUGGGAAAGAAAAGCAGCAGGUUAAUACCCCGCUGUUCUGACGGUACCCAAAGAAUAAGCACCGGCUAACUUCGUG
rnacentral:rRNA from 1 species